rnacentral:misc_RNA from 1 species
GAUGAAGAACGUAGCGAAAUGCGAUAAGUAAUGUGAAUUGCAGAAUUCAGUGAAUCAUCGAAUCUUUGAACGCACCUUGCGCCCUUUGGCUAUUCCGAGGGGCACACCCGUCCGAGCGCCGUUCGAAACCUCAGGCCGCGCCUGGCGUUGGGGAGGCCGUGCGGCCCCCCCCGAAACCCUUUGGCGACGCAGGCCGUCCGCGAACGCAGCGAAAACCGCGUCCGGCCGGACCCCGCGGCCGCCGGUCCCUUUUGGAAGGUUUGGCCUCGGAUCGGGUGGGGACACCCGCUGAACUUAAGCAUAUCAAUAAGCGGAGGA